AAACAACAGUGCCACCUUAACAAUCUCCUUCGGUUUUCUUUCAUUGACAAUAAGAAGUAAAAAACCAAAACCUCAUUCAUUAAGUGUCACGUUUAGCAAUGAGGAAGAAAUUAGUUCGGAAAAUCAAAAAGUGGCUUUCGUGUUCUGAAUGCAGCACCAGUUCUCCAAAUCACCAAACUUGUGUGGACGUGCGUGAAGAAUAUGCCAAUGCAUUUCGUACAGAGUCAUACACUGAG